rnacentral:tRNA from 1 species
AAUUAAUGAGCUUGUAUAAAAGCAUUUGUUUUGAAAACUUAAUAAAGAUAAAAAUAUCUAUUAAUUU